CCUAGGAACAACCCUUGGUCUUGUUUCAGGGCCAUGUUGUCCUGGCACCUGUAAACAGAAAAGAAACAAGUCAAAGAUUAAAUAUAACUGGGUGGCUAAAAGUAGAUCAGGGAAGCAGGGAAGCAAGUGGUGUUUAUUACUCAGCUAUGACAGCACCUGCAGGCUUGUGUUUGAAAAGAGUAUGGAGAGCAUCUGCACCUCCAACAGCACCUGGAGCAACUGCAAGCAAGCAGGCUUAGCUGUGAAGGAAGGGAGCAGGCACGACACAACAGUGACACUGCUUGGCAGCAAGGAACAGAGAGGAGCUGAACCAGGACCCUCCGAAUGACAGCUGUGCUGACAAGCAGUCCUUGGAAGUGUGCGAGGAAAUGAUACGUGCCUGGCAGUCUUGCUGCUGCUCCUCCACUGCUGUGCCCUCUGUGCUGAAGAUCAUAAUGAAAUCCUAAGCAGGCAGAGAACCUCCUAAAAACCAUCCAUUGUCCCUGAGGCCCUGAGCUCUGACAGGUGGUGGAUUGCCUUUCUGCUGGUGUUCAGAUGCCUGCAGUGCAGGAACCAGUAUUCACAUGGCCAACUUCCCUGUUAAAGAAAGGAUUGUUCGAUUCACCAUGCACAGUACGACUGGUCAAAAUUAUCUGUGGCUGAACUCCUCCUCACUCAGCAUCUCCUAGGUGACGGUGACUGCACGUACUCCAACAUAUUUUAAAAUAAAAUAUCCCAUGGUUACAAUUACCAGUUGAAUUAUGAGGAUAAUGGCAGUGUUUGGUAUCUCACAUAAAGAACUCCAGGAGGCCACUUGGAUUGUAAAUACUGUGCUUGUUAAUCCAAAUCAAAAAAAAAAAACCCCACAUGGGACAGAAUUUAAAGUGCUGUAUGCAAUAUUUUCAUUUCUCUUGUCUAUCUGAACAGUACAAACACCAAUGGAGC
ensembl:lncRNA